rnacentral:rRNA from 1 species
GCAGUCGAACGAACUUCCGUUAAUUGAUUAUGACGUGCUUGCACUGAAUGAGAUUUUAACACGAAGUGAGUGGCGGACGGGUGAGUAACACGUGGGUAACCUGCCCAGAAGCAGGGGAUAACACCUGGAAACAGAUGCUAAUACCGUAUAACAGAGAAAACCGCCUGGUUUUCUUUUAAAAGAUGGCUCUGCUAUCACUUCUGGAUGGACCCGCGGCGCAUUAGCUAGUUGGUGAGGUAACGGCUCACCAAGGCGAUGAUGCGUAGCCGACCUGAGAGGGUAAUCGGCCACAUUGGGACUGAGACACGGCCCAGACUCCUACGGGAGGCAGCAGUAGGGAAUCUUCCACAAUGGACGCAAGUCUGAUGGAGCAACGCCGCGUGAGUGAAGAAGGGUUUCGGCUCGUAAAGCUCUGUUGUUAAAGAAGAACGUGGGUGAGAGUAACUGUUCACCCAGUGACGGUAUUUAACCAGAAAGCCACGGCUAACUACGUGCCAGCAGCCGCGGUAAUACGUAGGUGGCAAGCGUUAUCCGGAUUUAUUGGGCGUAAAGCGAGCGCAGGCGGUCUUUUAAGUCUAAUGUGAAAGCCUUCGGCUCAACCGAAGAAGUGCAUUGGAAACUGGGAGACUUGAGUGCAGAAGAGGACAGUGGAACUCCAUGUGUAGCGGUGAAAUGCGUAGAUAUAUGGAAGAACACCAGUGGCGAAGGCGGCUGUCUGGUCUGUAACUGACGCUGAGGCUCGAAAGCAUGGGUAGCGAACAGGAUUAGAUACCCUGGUAGUCCAUGCCGUAAACGAUGAUUACUAAGUGUUGGAGGGUUUCCGCCCUUCAGUGCUGCAGCUAACGCAUUAAGUAAUCCGCCUGGGGAGUACGACCGCAAGGUUGAAACUCAAAAGAAUUGACGGGGGCCCGCACAAGCGGUGGAGCAUGUGGUUUAAUUCGAAGCUACGCGAAGAACCUUACCAGGUCUUGACAUCUUCUGCCAACCUAAGAGAUUAGGCGUUCCCUUCGGGGACAGAAUGACAGGUGGUGCAUGGUUGUCGUCAGCUCGUGUCGUGAGAUGUUGGGUUAAGUCCCGCAACGAGCGCAACCCUUAUUACUAGUUGCCAGCAUUCAGUUGGGCACUCUAGUGAGACUGCCGGUGACAAACCGGAGGAAGGUGGGGACGACGUCAAAUCAUCAUGCCCCUUAUGACCUGGGCUACACACGUGCUACAAUGGAUGGUACAACGAGUCGCAAAACCGCGAGGUUUAGCUAAUCUCUUAAAACCAUUCUCAGUUCGGACUGUAGGCUGCAACUCGCCUACACGAAGUCGGAAUCGCUAGUAAUCGCGGAUCAGCAUGCCGCGGUGAAUACGUUCCCGGGCCUUGUACACACCGCCCGUCACACCAUGAGAGUUUGUAACACCCAAAGCCGGUGGGGUAAC